GAUGAGCCUAGGUCGGAUUAGCUAGUUGGUGAGGUAAUGGCUCACCAAGGCGACGAUCCGUAACUGGUCUGAGAGGAUGAUCAGUCACACUGGAACUGAGACACGGUCCAGACUCCUACGGGAGGCAGCAGUGGGGAAUAUUGGACAAUGGGCGAAAGCCUGAUCCAGACAGGCCGCGUGUGUGAAGAAGGUCUUCGGAUGUAAACCUAAUUGAGUUGGGAGGAAGGGCAGUUACCUAAUACGUGAUGUUUGACG
rnacentral:rRNA from 1 species